CUCUCUCUCUGCAGCUCCACGAUGCCUCUCUCUGCAACUCCACGACGCCGAACGGACUCUCUGCUGCAACUCCAGUAGCUACCCACCGCGACUCUCUCUCUCUCUCUCUCUCUCUCUCUCUCUCUCUCUCUCUCUCUCCCCCCCCCCCCCCUUGUGCCAAGCAAGAGCUCUCUCUCAAUAGGGCGGCGAAGAAACCUCCAUACGUGGCACAAUCACUCUCGAUUUCCCUCUCUUAGAAAUCUCAAUCCGAUUCCACAUUGCAAGUGGUCAAAGAGCUCAGAGAAUGCCUGCCAGUCAGUGAUGUUGUGGCUGAUGAAGAGGUGAAGUUGGGCUCUUUGAUUGCAAAAGCCAUUGAUUGCAAUUUGAGAUCCGUUUUACUUGAGAAUGGCUGGAGAUGUGUUGCCAAUGGCUGCAUUGUGAAUUCAAGCUUUGCUAGCAGCGAAGAGAAGAAAGAUCUAUACGCCUUUCACGUGGUAACUUCUGUUCAGUAUUGAAGAUGAAUAAUUCAUGCAUUGAACUCUUUUCAGUAUGAUGAAGUGCUAUUGGUGUUUUAUUUGCUAUAAUCAAUGAGGAUUAGAUGAUCCUUGACUGCAGGAUUUGCAGUUUUGCACUAGAUACUAUUUUUACU